rnacentral:piRNA from 5 species
GGUGGUUCAGUGGUAGAAUUCUCGCCUGCC